UCUCCUGAAACGCAAGCAGUGAACUGAAUCAAAGUGAAUUGGGAUUGGCCCACUAGAUCAAUUAAUCUGGUGUACUGAAUCAGCGAGGUAGUGUGAAUUGGGACUAGGCCACUGAGUCAGCGAGGUAGUGUGAAUUUGGACUAGACCACUGAAUCAGCGAGGUAGUGUGAAUUGGGACUAGGCCACUGAGUCAGCGAGGUAGUGUGAAUUUGGACUAGACCACUGAAUCAGUGAGGUAGUGUGAAUUUGGACUAGGCCACUGAAUCAGCGAGGUAGUGUGAAUUUGGACUAGACCACUGGUAGCGAGGUAGUGUGAAUUUGGACUAGGCCACUGAAUCAGCGAGGUAGUGUGAAUUUGGACUAGGCCACUGAAUCAGCGAGGUAGUGUGAAUUUGGACUAGGCCACUGAAUCAGCGAGGUAGUGUGAAUUUGGACUAGGCCACUGAAUCAGUGAGGCAGAGUGAAUUGGGACUAGACCACUGAAUCAGUGAGGUAGUGUGAAUUGGGACUAGACCACUGAAUCAGUGAGGUAGUGUGAAUUGGGACUAGACCACUGAAUCAGCGAGGUAGUGUGAAUUUGGACUAGGCCACUGAAUCAGCGAGGUAGUGUGAAUUUGGACUAGGCCACUGAAUCAGCGAGGUAGUGUGAAUUUAGACUAGGCCACUGAAUCAGUGAGGCAGAGUGAAUUUGGACUAGGCCACUGAAUCAGCAAGGUAGUGUGAAUUGGGACUAAGCCACUGAAUCAGUGAGGCAGAGUGAAUUGGGACUAGAUCACUGAAUCAGCGAGGUAGUGUGAAUUGGAACUUGGAUAGUCGGGUAUUGUCAAAGUAAAUUGAGACAAGGACAAUGGGGAAUUAAGUAUAAACAAAAUGGGACAUCACUGGAAACAGGAGGUUGUGUAAAUUUGGACUGGGUCAAAUAGGGAGUUGCAUAGAUUGUAUAUGGUAUUACAAGGAAUUAAGACUGGACCACCAAGGGAGUGAUGUAAAGUGAAUCUGGACUGACCCACUGAAGAAGUAAAGGUGAAGUGAAUUUGAACUGGCCCACUAACAACAGGCAUGAACUGGGACAGGGAGACUGAAGAAAUGAAUGCUGCAUUAGGGACUAGGCCACUAUAGGAGUGAAAUGGCAUGAAGAAUGCUGGAUUUGGGACAGAGCCACUACAGGAAGUAGGUGGCAUGAAUUGGGACAUGGCCAGUGAAGAAAUGAAGAAUGCUAGAUUUGGGACAGGGCCACUGAAAGAGUGGGUUCACAGGAAUUGAGACUGGUCCAAUACUGGAGUAUGGUAGAAUGGAUCUGGGACUUGGCCACACUGGGGAAGUGAAGGAAAACAGAGUAAAAUGUAGGCUGUAUAUUAUGAAUUUCACUCUAAGCUCCUGGGGAAGUGUGUCACAUGAAAUGAGACAGAGUCACUAUGGCAUACCUGCUUUUUGACCCUUUAAGGUGUAAGUGACCUCUGCAUGCUCCCACUCUCCGGUAUAAUCUGGAGCCAGACAUGGACUCACCAGCUCCUGACCACCCCCUACUGGAAGAAGAAGUUACAGCAUCAAACACCAUUCGGAGAGUUAAUCCUGGCACACCUUGUACACUGUUUUGUACACUUUUUUCCCUUAUAGCUCAAAUUUGAACACCAUUUUUGGCCAGACAUAUAAACAGGACUCAGAUAUGUGCUUCUUCAACAUCUGACUUUGACAAAGUGGACAUUAUUGCUAUCUAGUGACAUGAAUACCUUUUCAGUUAAGAGAAAACAAAGCACACUGAUAGAACCAGGAUGGGCUUACAUAACGACAACAAAAUAAAAAAAUCUGAUUAAAAUUUCAAGUGUAUAAAACGCUAAUCCCAGUGGUGAACUGCAGCGUGGCGUUGAACCCGAGCUGGUGCCAAAUCGGUGCAACAGCUGGCCUCCAAGAAAUUAAUCUUUGGUGUUAAGAGAUUAGAUAAUGGCUUAUUUAUUGGAGCAGGGGAUGAGGUCUUUAAAUGCCAAAGAUGAGUAGAGAUUGAAAGAGCACGUACCAGGCUGUCCUUCAACCCCUCCCAACACGGCCAGUCUGGCAGACAUCAGACCAAGUCCCAGGUAGCUGAAGAGAGAGACAGAGGGAGCAGAUAUUAUCAGUGAAAGUAUUUUAAUGUAGUCACUAUCUGAUCUAAUCAGGGUCGAGUUUCUCAAAAGGAUCAGCAAAGAAAUCAUGAUAAAUAAAUCAGAUACAAAACAAUAUACAAAGCUGAAGACUUUAUUUUGUGUAUUAAAUUAAAGCUAAACUCAUCAGUCACACGUCCCAAUCCUUUGGGUUAAUUGGAGGGCAUUAAUUAAACUAUAAUCUAGCAAUCUAAGGUUCUGCUUAGACUUUAUAAAUUAAAGGGCUUUAGUGCUUACGGUCUAAUCAUGAGUGCAAGAACUGUGAUUCUCCCUCUCUCUCUCUCUGUGUCUCUCUCUUUAGCUCUAGCUCUCUCUGUCUCUCUUUUGCACUAGCUCUCCCUCUCGCGCUCCCUCUCUCUAAC